CUGGGUCUGGCGGAAUGCACAAUUCUGUCAUCGCACUAGAGACAGCUCAGUGACGGUCUACCUAAUGUGUCAUUUUAUAUAGGAAGAGGCAAAAGUGCAAAUCACGUUCUUUCGAGCUCAGUCAAUGUGCGGUAAAAUAUUAUUCUAAAUUAAAACUUAUAUACUAAAAUAUCACAGAAGUAAAUCACAGAUAUAGGAAAAUUAUCACAGUUCGAUUAGUUUAUCACAGAAAUAUAUUAAUUUGUUUUUCAUGAACAGUAAGUGGAAUCGGUACUAAAAGCAGCCGAUUCAAAUACCUGAACUUGUUACAUUAUCAAGAUUAGCUACCAUUCACACUGCUGCGAUUUAUGUUGCUAGGGCUAGCACGAGGUGAUUAAAGAAAAACCAAACAAUGUAAUACAAGAAUUAUAUUAUAUUUAUAAACACACACUAAUAAAUUAAACAUUUACAGUUUCAAGCUGCUACAAUCAAAAGCUGCUGUGAGAAAGGUUUUGUCUGGAAAUCCGAACAAACUUGAAAAUUGUUUGAUCGCGGAUCUAACCUCAAAAUGGCCGAAAGCACAGCUCCAGCGGAAGGAAACAACCAGAACUGUUCGUUCUGCGAGGAUGUUGACGGGGUGGACGACAUGGUCCAAUGCGACGUUUGUGACCUGUGGGCUCAUUACCGGUGUGCCGGUGUGACGGAAGCGGUCAAAAAUGAAAGCUGGAGUUGCU